AUGGCUGCAGCUAUAGAUCUGUCCGGGGAGGAUCUGGUGAGAGCACUCGAGCCUUUUAUCCGAGAAGCCUCUGCCCCCCUUCCACUCCACUCCCAUCUUAGUCCCACCUCGCCAUUCUCCUUCCCCCACGCCGCCUACAGUGGGUACCCGUACGGGGUGCAGGCACAGGCCCAGACCGAGCUCAGCCCGGCCCAGAUGCACUACAUCCAGGCACGCCUCCACCUCCAGCGCCAGACUGGCCAGCCGGGCCAGCUCGGACCGCGGUCCCAGCCCAUGAAGCCCGCUUCGGUGGCAGCGGCGACCCCGCCGCGGCCGCAGAAGCUCUACCGUGGCGUGCGGCAGCGCCACUGGGGCAAGUGGGUGGCGGAGAUCCGUCUCCCCCGCAACCGCACCCGCCUCUGGCUCGGCACCUUCGACACCGCCGAGGAGGCGGCCCUCGCCUACGACCAGGCCGCCUACCGCCUCCGCGGCGAUGCAGCUCGCCUCAACUUCCCCGACAACGCCGCCUCUCGCGGCCCGCUCCAUGCCUCCGUUGACGCCAAGCUCCAGACCCUCUGCCAGAACAUCACCGCCUCCAAGAACGCCAAGAAGUCCGCCUCUGUCUCCGCGUCCACCGCCGCAGCCACGUCGUCCACCCCCACCAGCAACUGCUCCUCGCCUUCCUCCGACGAGGCGUCAUCCUCGCUGGAGUCUGCGGAGUCGUCACCGUCACCCGCCGCCACCACCGCAGCAGAUGUUCCAGAGAUGCAGCAGCUCGACUUCAGCGAGGCGCCAUGGGACGAGGCAGCCUGCUUCGCCCUCACCAAGUACCCGUCGUAUGAGAUCGACUGGGAUUCGCUUCUCGCCACCAAUUAG
rnacentral:rRNA from 1 species